CAGCCACAUCAUAUUGAAACACUAGUUCCCGUACGAUCACUGAAGUUAACCAACGUCAAGCUUGGUUAGUACUUAGACGGGUGACCACUUGGAAAUGCCAGUUGCUGUAAG